rnacentral:rRNA from 1 species
UGGGGAAUUUUGGACAAUGGGGGAAACCCUGAUCCAGCCAUCCCGCGUGUGCGAUGAAGGCCUUCGGGUUGUAAAGCACUUUUGGCAGGAAAGAAACGUCAUGGGUUAAUACCCCGUGAAACUGACGGUACCUGCAGAAUAAGCACCGGCUAACUACGUGCCAGCAGCCGCGGUAAUACGUAGGGUGCAAGCGUUAAUCGGAAUUACUGGGCGUAAAGCGUGCGCAGGCGGUUCGGAAAGAAAGAUGUGAAAUCCCAGAGCUCAACUUUGGAACUGCAUUUUUAACUACCGGGCUAAAGUGUGUCAGCGGGAGGUGGAAUUCCGCGUGUAGCAGUGAAAUGCGUAGAUAUGCGGAGGAACACCGAUGGCGAAGGCAGCCUCCUGGGAUAACACUGACGCUCAUGCACGAAAGCGUGGGGAGCAAACAGG